rnacentral:rRNA from 1 species
GACGAACGCUGGCGGCGUGCCUAAUACAUGCAAGUAGAACGCUGAAGGAGGAGCUUGCUCUUCUGGAUGAGUUGCGAACGGGUGAGUAACGCGUAGGUAACCUGCCUGGUAGCGGGGGAUAACUAUUGGAAACGAUAGCUAAUACCGCAUAACAGUAGAUGUUGCAUGACAUUUGCUUAAAAGGUGCAAUUGCACCACUACCAGAUGGACCUGCGUUGUAUUAGCUAGUUGGUGGGGUAACGGCUCACCAAGGCGACGAUACAUAGCCGACCUGAGAGGGUGAUCGGCCACACUGGGACUGAGACACGGCCCAGACGCCUACGGGAGGCAGCAGUAGGGAAGCUUCGGCAAUGGACGGAAGUCUGACCGAGCAACGCCGCGUGAGUGAAGAAGGGUUUCGGAUCGUAAAGCUCUGUUGUAAGAGAAGAACGAGUGUGAGAGUGGAAAGUUCACACUGUGACGGUAUCUUACCAGAAAGGGACGGCUAACUACGUG